GGGUGAUUAGCUCAGCUGGGAGAGCACCUCACUUACAAGGAGGGGGUCGGCGGUUCGAUCCCGUCAUCACCCACCA
rnacentral:tRNA from 6 species